GACAUAGGGUGCAAACGUUGUUCGGAAUCACUGGGCGUAAAGGGCGUGUAGGCGGAUAGAUAAGUCGGGCGUGAAAUCCCCAGGCUCAACCUGGGAACUGCACUCGAAACUGUUUAUCUUGAGUGCCGGAGAGGAAAGCGGAAUUCCUGGUGUAGAGGUGAAAUUCGUAGAUAUCAGGAGGAACACCAGUGGCGAAGGCGGCUUUCUGGACGGUAACUGACGCUGAGACGCGAAAGCGUGGGGAGCAAACAGG
rnacentral:rRNA from 1 species